rnacentral:sRNA from 1 species
GGAUUCAUGAAGAUCUAAAACCAUGGAAGAAUACAGGAAUCACAAGGGAAAUGGUUGAAAGAGGGAAAAACAUUUCACAUAUUAGGCUUGUAAUUGUAAAUGGAAAAGCUUACAUAGAAAAGCAUGGCAAAGUGUUUCAAACAAGAGAUAUGUUCACAAUAUGGGGAAUUUUGCAGCUCCUAAGGUUGUAUCCAGGAAAAAUACCAGAUUUGGAGUUAAUGUUUCAAUGUGGAGACAAAACUGUGGUCAACAAAAAAGAUUUCCAAGAACCACAAAUUUCACCACCACCCGUUUUCCAUUACUGUGGAAAUGAACAGUCAUAUGAUAUUGUCUUCCCUGAUUGGACCUUCUGGGGCUGGGCUGAGCUUAACAUAAGACCAUGGGAAACAACAUUACAUAAUAUACAAGAAGGCAACAAAUUAGUGAAAUGGAAGGAUAGGAUACCCUAUGCUUUUUGGAAGGGCAAC